rnacentral:rRNA from 1 species
AAACCUCCUUAUUCUCCUGCCCGCCCCUCGGAAGUGGCGAUGACAGCUUGAAGGACUCGGCUGUCAGUGUCUAUCGCGCAGUGCCUGGUGAGAUCGUCUUGGAAUUAAGCUAUUUUCAUGGUUCCAACGACUUCUGUUUUUUUUCAACAUUCGCA